rnacentral:rRNA from 1 species
CACGUAGGGGCCAAGCGUUGUCCGGAUUUAUUGGGCGUAAAGAGCUCGUAGGCGGCUCGGUAAGUCAGGUGUGAAACCUCCAGGCUCAACUUGGAGACGCCACCUGAUACUGCUGUGGCUAGAGUCCGGUAGGGGAGCGUGGAAUUCCUGGUGUAGCGGUGAAAUGCGCAGAUAUCAGGAGGAACACCAGCGGCGAAGGCGGCGCUCUGGGCCGGAACUGACGCUGAGGAGCGAAAGCGUGGGUAGCAAACAGG